UUUCUCCUCAUUAAACCAAACUUUGUUGCUUUAUUCUAAUUAUUUGAAUGUGUUCUUGUUUGAUAGUUGACUGAACAAAAAUUGACAAGAAAGGAAGGUAUAAGCUUUUCUUGUUUGAGGUUACUUGCUAAGAUUAAAGCCUCGCUAUCUUUCACUUGAAAUUUCUGAAGCUUUUGAUAAAUUUUACCACCAAUAGAAGCAGGAGGCUAAUCUGAUUCAAUAUGCUCUUAUUGUCAAUUAUCUCUGUUUCCAUCUCAAUGUGUUCCUAUCCUAAAUAACAUUGUUCAUCUUUUGUUGUUUAGGAAGCUUGCAGACAAGAUUGCAGCUUCUGGUUACUAUGUGGUUGUUCCGGACUUCUUUUAUGGUGAACCCUAUGAUCCUCAGAAUACUAAUAGACCUUUAGGAGAGUGGCUAAAAGAUCAUGGAAUGGUUAGUUAUUUUUAAUGAUUCAACAUUAUUUCUUUGUUCAUAAUGAUUCAACAUUAUUUCCCCAUGAUCCAAACCACAAGCUGAAAAUCCACCAUAUCCUCUCUCAUCCUCUCCUCUUUCUCCAAUGAAACCUCUCAGUUCCUGCUGUAAUUCGAUCCUCUACUGAUUGGAAGAACACUAGGAAGAACAAGAAGUGCAGAAGGAGGAACACUGAAAAAAGCAGCAUAACAUGUCACCAUAAACAUGCUUCUUCUUCUUCUUCUUCUUCUUCUUCUUCUUCUUCUUCUUCUUCUUCUCAGGAUGUAUGGUGUGGCCCUGGAAUUGGAUUCGCAUCAGAUCAUGCUUCUGCUUCUGUGGAUUGUGUGGUGGCAAGGAAGAAUGCUUCUUCAAGAAGGAACCUUGAUGCUGUUGAGAGAGCAACACAUAGGGAAGAGUGUAGAUCGGAUAUAGUAAGGUAGACAUCCUCUGCUCAGAAAGUGGGAAGCAGCGAAUAAUUUUGAUGGACCAAGAAUCUCAAGAAGCAAGUAUAUUGCCAUCAUCACUAAAAAGCUCAAGAAAGAAUGAAGCUAUCCAUAAAUUAGGAUAUUGAAUCUUGAUGAGUCCACUAGUAGUUAUUUGUCAUCUAAUGUAUU